rnacentral:lncRNA from 1 species
CUUUCCGCCUCCGCAUCCUCUCUUGCAGCCUGCACCCCCUGGACAUCUUGACUCCAUCCUUCAGCAUCCUCUCCCUCACUGUAUCCUGACUGCUUGGACCACCCUCCUCUCCAGCCCCCACUGAACAACAGAUUGGGAAGGGGAAUUUCACAAGGAGCUCUUGAUCUUGGCAGAGACGCUGCCGAGCCACCUGCCCCACCUGGCAGCCCAACCACUUCUCCAGAAAGAACCCUUUGCUCGGUCCACCCACCAGGAAAUCUGCAGAUUAACACCAUCCUCCUUGCAAGAGUUCACCUUCCCAGUGGAUCCCCC